rnacentral:rRNA from 1 species
AACGCUAGCUACAGGCUUAACACAUGCAAGUCGAGGGGAAACGACAUCGAAAGCUUGCUUUUGAUGGGCGUCGACCGGCGCACGGGUGAGUAACACGUAUCCAACCUGCCGAUAACUCGGGGAUAGCCUUUCGAAAGAAAGAUUAAUAUCCGAUAGCAUAUUGAGAUCGCAUGAUUUUGAUAUUAAAGAAUUUCGGUUAUCGAUGGGGAUGCGUUCCAUUAGUUUGUUGGCGGGGUAACGGCCCACCAAGACUACGAUGGAUAGGGGUUCUGAGAGGAAGGUCCCCCACAUUGGAACUGAGACACGGUCCAAACUCCUACGGGAGGCAGCAGUGAGGAAUAUUGGUCAAUGGACGAGAGUCUGAACCAGCCAAGUAGCGUGAAGGAUGACUGCCCUAUGGGUUGUAAACUUCUUUUAUAUGGGAAUAAAGUAUUCCACGUGUGGGAUUUUGUAUGUACCAUAUGAAUAAGGAUCGGCUAACUCCGUGCCAGCAGCCGCGGUAAUACGGAGGAUCCGAGCGUUAUCCGGAUUUAUUGGGUUUAAAGGGAGCGUAGGUGGAUUGUUAAGUCAGUUGUGAAAGUUUGCGGCUCAACCGUAAAAUUGCAGUUGAAACUGGCAGUCUUGAGUACAGUAGAGGUGGGCGGAAUUCGUGGUGUAGCGGUGAAAUGCUUAGAUAUCACGAAGAACUCCGAUUG